rnacentral:ncRNA from 1 species
UGGGAAAGCAUGUGGGACUUCCAAAACAACCAGGAGGUUGGCUUAGAAGCAGCCAUCCUUUAAAGAUAGCGUAACAGCUCACUGGUCUAGUUAAGAGGUCCUGCGGCGAAGAUGUAACGGGGCUCAAGCCACGAGCCGAAGCUUUGGAUGUGUACCGUAAGGUGCACGUGGUAGCGGAGCGUUCUGUGAUAUAGAACGCUGCCUCUUUUGCCUCCUCGGAGGUAACGGAGGCAAUGUUCUGACUGUGAAGCCGGGCUGUAAGGCAUCCGGUGGAGUGAUCAGAAGUGAGAAUGUUGACAUGAGUAGCGACAAACAGGGUGAGAGACCCUGUCGCCGAAAGUCCAAGGGUUCCUGCUUAAAGCUAAUCU